ensembl:lncRNA
AAAGAUGUUUAUAUGUAUAUUACAAUCCAAAAAGCUAUAUAGCAGAUUAAUCAGUUCCCAAGUAUAGGAUUAUGGGUGGGGGACUUCACUUCCUAUUUUAUACACUAAUGUAUGUGAAUAUUUUAUCCCCAUUCUUAGGUGAUAAAGACCUCAAGUAUGAGUUUCAUCUCAUCUUUGAAUUCUUCAGAUCACCUGCUCAUAUUAGGAUCCCUGAAAAUGGAAAGGAAUUCCCUAGAUAUCCCAGUUUAUUCCCACACCCUAACACUGCAGAGGAGUCCCCGAAAUACGAAACAUUUCAGCCUCUCCUCAUUUCUUUCAAGGGUGGAUUGAAAGAUACCAGCUUCAGCAGUUCACUCUGAAACCCAUUGUGAUUUGAUUCUUCAGCUAUUACACUCUGG